UUUCCGUAGGUGAACCUGCGGAAGGAUCAUUACCGAGUGAGGGUCUAAAAGGCCCGCCCUCCCGCCCUGUUUUUUUGUGCCCUUAUUGCUUUGGCGGACCCGCCUCGAUGUAAGGCCGCCGACAGCUCCCCGCUUUAGGCCCUUGACCGUCAGUAGCCCCCUUCACUUCUUAAUAAACCUGUCGUCUGAGUUAAUGGAUAUAAUGAAAAAAACUUUCAACAACGGAUCUCUUGGUUCUG
rnacentral:misc_RNA from 1 species